CCUACGGGAGACUGCAGUGGGGAAUAUUGGGCAAUGGGCGCAAGCCUGACCCAGCAACGCCGCGUGAAGGAAGAAGGCUUUCGGGUUGUAAACUUCUUUUCUCAGGGACGAAGCAAGUGACGGUACCUGAGGAAUAAGCCACGGCUAACUACGUGCCAGCAGCCGCGUUAAUACGGAGGUGGCAAGCGUUAUCCGGAUUUACUGGGUGUAAAGGGCGUGUAGGCGGGAAAGCAAGUCAGAUGUGAAAACCAUGGGCUCAACCUGUGGCCUGCAUUUGAAACUGUUUUUCUUGAGUACUGGAGAGGCAGACGGAAUUCCUAGUGUAGCGGUGAAAUGCGUAGAUAUUAGGAGGAACACCAGUGGCGAAGGCGGUCUGCUGGACAGCAACUGACGCUGAGGCGCGAAAGCGUGGGGAGCAAACAGGAUUAGAUACCCCUGUAGUC
rnacentral:rRNA from 1 species